GGAAUCCUACGGGAGGCCAGCAGUGGGGAUACUUUGACAAUGGGCGCAAGCCUGAUCUAGCCAUGCCGCGUGAGUGACGAAGGUCUUAGGAUCGUAAAGCUCUUUCGCCAGAGAUGAUAAUGACAGUAUCUGGUAAAGAAACCCCGGCUAACUCCGUGCCAGCAAGCCGCGGUAAUAUU
rnacentral:rRNA from 1 species